GCCUUCGUGGUGUAACUGGUAACACGUCCAGUUUGCAACCGAGAAGUUCGGAGUUCGAAUCCCGGCGAGGACA
rnacentral:tRNA from 1 species